AACGUACCCUGGAGUGGGGGAUAACGUAGCGAAAGUUACGCUAAUACCGCAUACGAUCUAAGGAUGAAAGUGGGGGANUCGCAAGAGCCUCAUGCUCCUGGAGCGGCCGAUAUCUGAUUAGCUAGUUGGUAGGGUAAAAGCCUACCAAGGCUUCGAUCAGUAGCUGGUCUGAGAGGACGACCAGCCACACUGGAACUGAGACACGGUCCAGACUCCUACGGGAGGCAGCAGUGGGGAAUUUUGGACAAUGGGCGCAAGCCUGAUCCAGCAAUGCCGCGUGAGUGAAGAAGGCCUUCGGGUUGUAAAGCUCUUUUGUCAGGGAAGAAACGGUGAAGGCUAAUAUCUUUUGCUAAUGACGGUACCUGAAGAAUAAGCACCGGCUAACUACGUGCCAGCAGCCGCGGUAAUACGUAGGGUGCAAGCGUUAAUCGGAAUUACUGGGCGUAAAGCGUGCGCAGGCGGUUUUGUAAGUUUGUCGUGAAAGCCCCGGGCUCAACCUGGGAAUUGCGAUGAAGACUGCAAGGCUUGAAUCUGGCAGAGGGGGGUAGAAUUCCACGUGUAGCAGUGAAAUGCGUAGAGAUGUGGAGGAACACCGAUGGCGAAGGCAGCCCCCUGGGUCAAGAUUGACGCUCAUGCACGAAAGCGUG
rnacentral:rRNA from 1 species